rnacentral:rRNA from 1 species
GACGAACGCUGGCGGCGUGCUUAACACAUGCAAGUCGAACGGAAAGGCCCUGCUUGUGUGGGGUGCUCGAGUGGCGAACGGGUGAGUAACACGUGAAUAACCUGCCCUUGACUUUGGGAUAACUUCAGGAAACUGGGGCUAAUACCGGAUAGGAGCUCCUGCUGCAUUGUGGGGAGUGGAAAGUUUCGGCGGUUGUGGAUGGACGCGCGGCUUAUCAGCUUGUUGGUGGGGGAGUGGCUUACCAAGGCUUUGACGGGUAGCCGGCCUGAGAGGGUGAACGGCCACCUUGGGACUGAGAUACGGCCCAGAGUCCUACGGGAGGCAGCAGUGGGGAAUAUUGCACAAUGGGCGGAAGCCUGAUGAAGCAACGCCGCGUGCGGGAUGACGGCCUUCGGGUUGUAAACCGCUUUCGCCUGUGACGAAGCGUGAGUGACGGUAAUGGGUAAAGAAGCACCGGCUAACUACGUG